rnacentral:rRNA from 1 species
UACGAAGGAUCCAAGCGUUAUCCGGAUUUAUUGGGUUUAAAGGGUGCGUAGGCGGCCUAUUAAGUCAGGGGUGAAAGACGGUAGCUUAACUAUCGCAGUGCCUUUGAUACUGAUGGGCUUGAAUACACUAGAGGUAGGCGGAAUGUGACAAGUAGCGGUGAAAUGCAUAGAUAUGUCACAGAACACCAAUUGCGAAGGCAGCUUACUAUGGUGCAAUUGACGCUGAGGCACGAAAGCGUGGGGAUCAAACAGG